GUGAGGAAUAUUGCGCAAUGGACGAAAGUCUGACGCAGCGACGCCGCGUGGGCGACGAAGGCCUUCGGGUUGUAAAGCCCUUUUGGCAGGGACGAGUGAGGACGGUACCUGUCGAAUAAGUCUCGGCUAACUACGUGCCAGCAGCCGCGGUAAAACGUAGGAGGCGAGCGUUAUCCGGAUUUACUGGGCGUAAAGCGUGCGUAGGCGGUUGGUCAAGUCAGAUGUUAAAGCCCCUGGCUCAACUAGGGGAGGUCAUUUGAUACUGGCCGGCUUGAGGGUGAGAGAGGAGAGUGGAAUUCCCGGUGUAGCGGUGGAAUGCGUAGAGAUCGGGAGGAACACCAGUGGCGAAAGCGGCUCUCUGGCUCACUUCUGACGCUGAGUGCACGAAAGCGUGGGGAGCAAACGGGAUUAGAAACCCGAGUAGUCC
rnacentral:rRNA from 1 species